CCAGUGUGCACUGGGCAUCAAAAGCGCAGAUAGAGGCAAAACAAUGUCACAAAAAAGGACAUAUCCUUCAGGUGCAGAAAAAAGGAAGAAGAAGAAAGUGGAAGAGGAGAAAAAAUGCCAUGAUAAAGGUAUGUUUGCAUGACUUGGUAAUAAAAAGUUCAUCAAAGAGAUUUGUAGCUGUAAUUAGCUUUAGCUAGGUGACGUUAGCUAGCUAGCGCGGUGCUAGCAAUAUGUUUUUAGCAUCAGGUUACUAGUGAGAUAUGUUGUUUGCACAAAUUGUUUGCAGCAGAGCACGGUAAUUUAUGUGAGUAAAAUAAACAUUAUUUUUUACAUUAACUCAUAAGUCAUGUGAAACUUCCCCAGGAGCAUUGUUCAAAUACUUUGGAGGCACAGAAUCAGCCCAGAGCCAGUCCACAUCCUCAGGCUCAACUGUGAGUGAUGAAUCAGGUCCAUCUCAAUCCUCUACAGUGCUCUCUCACACACCUCCACCCUCUGUGCCCACUGUCCCCUCCAUGUCUGAAACCACAGCUGAUUUAUCUAUCAUUGUCUUUCUUUGGUCACUUCCUCGGCAACUUCCACCACAACGUCCCCUUCACACCAUGGACCAUCAUCAGCUCCGCCAGUUGACCCAGCUGAGUGGCCUUCUUUCCUCUCAGAUUCAGACAGGACUGAGCAGGUGAUCAGAGGACCACUGUCUAUUAAGGAGAACUUUUCAUUCCCCAAACGGCAUGAUGGCUGAAGUUUUCAUUAUCAUUAUACCUACAGACAGCUCGUCAAUGGGGAAAAAGUCAAGCGUAGCUGGCUGACUUAUUCAAGAAGUAAAGAUGCAGUCUAUUGCUUUUGCUGCAAAUUAUUUUCCAAAAAGUCCUUAAAAGUGGCAGCCGAGGGACAGCGGGAUUGGGUCAACAUAGGUGCACUGCUGAAACAGCAUGAAAACAGUGAAGAUCAUUGUAGCAACAUGGUGAAAUGGAAGGAAUUUGCCUUGCGUCUUUCAAAGGGGAAAACUAUUGAUGAAUUUAACUUCAGUAGACUGUGCUCUCUUUGUACAAAGUAAACAUUAAAUAUGAACAAUUAACUAAAAAUACAAACUAGUGAUUAAAGACUAAUAUGUACAAGACUGAUGAGACAAGAUGACACUUUUACUGUAAAUACAAAGCUUUAUCACUUGGACUGUACAACCCCAGGCCACUCUUGUAGCUGAAUGUUUUCUACAUUUUAAGAUUAGGAACCAUAUGUGGCACUCUGGACAUCAUUCGUUCAUUCAUUGGUAUUAUUUAUGUUCUUAACUGGGCCACCCCCAUAUCUUUAUAAAUGACAUGUCAUUUGUAAAGACAUGCCAGGCUGACAAUAGGAUAAUGUAAACAACACUGCCAGAGCCGCAAUGAGUUUAUAGUAGGUGUGUGAUUGAUCAACAAUCAAUAUUAUUGGCAGAAAUAGAGGGCCCCAAAAUCAAAUUUUGCUUAGGGCCCCAUGGAGGCUUGGGCCGGCACUGUAUGUUGGUAACUGGUUAGCUUUUAGCUUUAUAACUCACCUUGCGAGUUGUGAAUGUUCAGCAUCGGAACUUCCUUCUUUCCUUUUGAACAGUCUUCACGAGAAUAUCCAUUUGAGUCCUCGUCGCCACUGUAAUGUUUGUAGUGUACUUUGUUGCUGGUUCAAUAUUGAGGAUUGAUGGAUUUGGAUGCUUUAAUCAUCAACAUCGCUUCCAUGUACCUGUCUCAUGCAUCAGGCGUAACUGUUCUGCCAUUGUCCACUAGUGUUUUGAUACGCUCUAAUAAAAUAUUAUGAUCGACGGUAUCGA